rnacentral:lncRNA from 1 species
GGAUUACGGUUUAAAUGAAAUUGAAUGUUUUGUUAUGUAAUUGCUGGAUUAGGGUUUAAAACCUUUUAAUUAGUACUAGUAGUGUUCUGUUUUUUGAAUUUUAAAGGAACCUUGCCAGCCAACAACUGAGUCUCUCUAAUGGACAUCUCGCGCCGCAAGAAAUCACAAUGGGAGAGGUUCCUCAUUGGAAGGAGCCACAGGAAUUUAAGGGUAACUCAACUAAUCAUAAAUUUCUGUUGCCGCUAACUCAUGUGGUUAAACAAGUCUUCUUCUUUUUCCUGUUUUGUCCGUCUUCUAUUAAGUUUUGUUGUUGCUGUUUCAUGUAUUUAUUUAUUUGGUUUCUUAUUUGAUGAUCAACACAAUACACAGAAUUGAGGAAAUUGUACACACCUGAAGAGCUUGAUGGGAUUCUCACUCCUGAUGAGUUUGUUUGUUGUUCACACCUGAAAAGUAUUGUCAG